rnacentral:rRNA from 1 species
CGUAUCGGAAGGUGCGGCUGGAUCACCUCCUUUCUAAGGAGUAAUUACCUACUGUUUAAUUUUGAGAGUUUAUCUCUCUGUUAGUACU